CUGAUCCUGGCCCCCCCCCCCCCAACUGGGAGACCUUUGGUGCACCGCCUGCUGCUCAGACAACCUUACGCUGGUCUGUGGCGUCGGAAGUCUUGGUAUUAGAAGAUAAAUGCAGUGCAGUGAAGUUGAGAAUGCAAUCAGUGCCAUUUCAAAGAGGGGAGGAUAAUUUGGAGACGCCAAGAACUCAGGUGAUACAAGGAUCUCCCAGGGUGGAAAAGGUUUCAUAUUUCCAGUAUAGUUUGGAUACACCUUUGUUGUUUACCAUCUGAAAAUUUUGGCCUUUCUGUUCUGAGUUUCCACAACUGAACUGUGCACUGAAAUUUUUAAGCUGUGUCGAUAACAGAGUGCAUGUUUGCAGAGUGGGAUGGGCAUUCCCGUCUCUCCGGCUAGGAAAAGCCACGUUCAAAGCUCACUGUGUUGCGGUCCGAAGCCGCACUUACCUCGGGCCCCCUCUGGGCACAGGAUCGCUCAAGACCCGGGAAAAGUCUGCGAGAGAAAAUCGUGGAGAGCCUGGAGCCAGCGCGAGUCCGCGCGUCGGGCGCGCCGGGAGCGGAGGGGCGUCCUCGCUCUGCCUCUCACUCACUCGGUCUGAGCCAUCAUGGACUCUGCGUGCGCCUUUGCUGAGGAUUUCACACCCAAAUUUGCUUCCCAAUCUCCAAUCUGCAGCUAUACAACAAAAGAUUUCUCUUUACCAAGACAGUAGUAAUACGUCCCAGGGCAAACCGGAUGUGAAAUAGGCGGUGACUUCAUGCCAGAGAGAUUUUAUUUUAGAAAGGAAGGUGGUACCAGCCUCUGGAGCUGGAGACCAAUCCGCCCAUUUUUUAUAUGCAGCACAAUUUAACUUGCACCGCUCUGGCCCUAAUCCCCUUCUCUCUAGCUGCAGACUCAAAUCCUUCUACAAUCUGCUGCAAGCGUUCCCCUUUUUUUUGGGGGGGGUGGAGUAGAAAUAGGGGGAGGGAAGUAGAAAGGUACUACACUCAGAAUCUUCACACUUUGAAUUUCUGUACACUGUUUAAGGUGUGUCCAUUAAAAAGAAAGCUGUUCAUUGCAAAUAUUCCACCUUUGAUCAAAUAUUUAACUAAUGAAUGCUUGUGAAUAAAUGCAAGCUAGGGAACAGGGAGAUGCAGGGUUACACAUGUGGAGAACACACCGUCCUCUCGCUUCCCUCCCUCACACGCACUCCCACAUACAUGUCUAAAUCCCUGUGCCUUGCACAGUCACGAAAGAUGAGAGAUGGUAGGGGAGAGUUCUGGGCAGCAGGGAUUUGGCCACCAGGUGUAGAGAGUCCUUCGCACUUUCACAGGUUGUGAGCGCUUCCACCCCACCUUCUGUCUGAGCUUAAAGGACAGCGAGAACGCGCUCAGAAUGUUUUUUUGGUCUUUGGUGGCAACUGUUUUCGGUUUUUGUGAUGUUGGAGAAAACACGGGCUUCUUUAAACAUGAAUUGCGCUGGUUUCUUAGGACGAGGAGUAUUCAACUUUAAAUAAAUCGCUCCGUUCAUUUCUAGGCUUGAAAUUCACAUCUCCAUUUCCGGA